GACAGAGGAGUGCGAACGUUUGUUCGGAAUUACAGGGCGUAAAGCGCGUGUAGGCGGUCGUGCAAGUCGGGUGUGAAAGCCCUGGGCUCAACCCAGGAAGUGCAUUCGAUACUGCGCGACUGGAGUCCCGGAGAGGAUGGUGGAACUCUCGGUGUAGAGGUGAAAUUCGUAGAUAUCGAGAAGAACACCGGUGGCGAAGGCGGCCAUCUGGACGGUGACUGACGCUGAGACGCGAAGGCCAGGGGAGCAAACGGG
rnacentral:rRNA from 1 species